CUCUGGUAGAUGAAUAAUCCUGAACCCUCAGGAAAUAGAGUCUCUGCUGCACCUUCUUGAUGGUGGCCAUGAUGUUAGUGCUCCAAGUCAGGUCAUCCUUCAGGUGCACACACAGAAACUGGA